AUUGAACGCUGGCGGCAUGCUUUACACAUGCAAGUCGAACGGUAACAGGCCGCAAGGUGCUGACGAGUGGCGAACGGGUGAGUAAUGCAUCGGAACGUGCCCAGUCGUGGGGGAUAACGCAGCGAAAGCUGUGCUAAUACCGCAUACGAUCUAUGGAUGAAAGCGGGGGACCGUAAGGCCUCGCGCGAUUGGAGCGGCCGAUGUCAGAUUAGGUAGUUGGUGGGGUAAAGGCUCACCAAGCCAACGAUCUGUAGCUGGUCUGAGAGGACGACCAGCCACACUGGGACUGAGACACGGCCCAGACUCCUACGGGAGGCAGCAGUGGGGAAUGUUGGACAAUGGGCGCAAGCCUGAUCCAGCAAUGCCGCGUGCAGGAAGAAGGCCUUCGGGUUGUAAACUGCUUUUGUACGGAACGAAAAGGCGAGCUCUAAUACAGUUUGCUAAUGACGGUACCGUAAGAAUAAGCACCGGCUAACUACGUGCCAGCCGCCGCGGUAA
rnacentral:rRNA from 1 species